rfam:TPA: Bos taurus chromosome 7, whole genome shotgun sequence.
UCCCUGUUGGUCCAGUGGUUAAGACUCUCCACUUCCACUGCAGGGGGCACGGGUUCAAUACCUGGUUGGGGAA